AUACGUAGGGUGCGAGCGUUGUCCGGAAUUACUGGGCGUAAAGAGCACGUAGGUGGUUUGUCGCGUCGUCUGUGAAAUUCCGGGGCUUAACUCCGGGCGUGCAGGCGAUACGGGCAUAACUUGAGUACUGUAGGGGAGACUGGAAUUCCUGGUGUAGCGGUGAAAUGCGCAGAUAUCAGGAGGAACACCGGUGGCGAAGGCGGGUCUCUGGGCAGUAACUGACGCUGAGGAGCGAAAGCAUGGGUAGCGAACAGGAUUAGAUACCCUGGUAGUCCAUGCCGUAAACGGUGGGCGCUAGGUGUAGGGGUCUUCCACGACUUCUGUGCCGUAGCUAACGCAUUAAGCGCCCCGCCUGGGGAGUACGGCCGCAAGGCUAAAACUCAAAGGAAUUGACGGGG
rnacentral:rRNA from 1 species